rnacentral:rRNA from 1 species
UACGUAGGGUGCGAGCGUUAAUCGGAAUUACUGGGCGUAAAACGUGCGCAGGCGGUUCGUUGUGUCGGUGGUGAAAUCCCCGGGCUUAACCUGGGAAUGGCCAUGGAAACUGGCGAACUGGAGUGCGGCAGAGGGGGGUGGAAUUCCGCGUGUAGCAGUGAAAUGCGUAGAGAUGCGGAGGAACACCGAUGGCGAAGGCAGCCCCCUGGGCUAGCACUGACGCUCAGGCACGAAAGCGUGGGGAGCAAACAGG